GAAAUGUGUGUCCAAGCAGCAAGUCUGAGAACGAGUGAAAUGCUUUUUCUCUCAAGGACAAGCUGUGAUGGGGAGCGAAAUUUAGUAGCGAAGUUCCUGAUGUCACACUGCCAAGAAAAGCUUCUAGUGAGAAAGUAACUGCCCGUACCGCAAACCGACACAGGUAGUUGAGGAGAGAAUCCUAAGGUGUGCGAGAGAACUCUCGUUAAGGAACUCGGCAAAAUGACCCCGUAACUUCGGGAGAAGGGGUGCUGACCGCAAGGUCAGCCGCAGUGAAUAGGCCCAAGCGACUGUUUAUCAAAAACACAGGUCUCUGCAAAAUCGAAAGAUGACGUAUAGGGGCUGACGCCUGCCCGGUGCUGGAAGGUUAAGAGGAGAGGUUAGCGCAAGCGAAGCUUUGAAUUGAAGCCCCAGUAAACGGCGGCCGUAACGAUAACGGUCCUAAGGUAGCGAAAUUCCUUGUCGGGUAAGUUCCGACCCGCACGAAAGGCGUAACGAUUUGGGCACUGUCUCAACGAGAGACUCGGUGAAAUUAUAGUACCAGUGAAGAUGCUGGUUACCCGCGACAGGACGGAAAGACCCCAUGGAGCUUUACUGCAGUUUGAUAUUGCGUGUUUGUAUCACAUGUACAGGAUAGGUAGGAGCCGAAGAUACCGGGACGCCAGUCUCGGAGGAGGCAACGGUGGGAUACUACCCUUGUGAUAUGACCACUCUAACCCGCUGCUCUUAGCGAGCAGGGAGACAGUGUCAGACGGGCAGUUUGACUGGGGCGGUCGCCUCCAAAAAUGUAACGGAGGCGCCCAAAGGUUCCCUCAGAAUGGUUGGAAAUCAUUCGUAGAGUGUAAAGGCAGAAGGGAGCUUGACUGCGAGACCUACAAGUCGAGCAGGGACGAAAGUCGGGCUUAGUGAUCCGGUGGUUCCGCAUGGAAGGGCCAUCGCUCAACGGAUAAAAGCUACCCUGGGGAUAACAGGCUUAUCUCCCCCAAGAGUUCACAUCGACGGGGAGGUUUGGCACCUCGAUGUCGGCCCAUCGCAUCCUGGGGCUGUAGUCGGUCCCAAGGGUUGGGCUGUUCGCCCAUUAAAGCGGUACGCGAGCUGGGUUCAGGACGUCGUGAGACAGUUCGGUCCCUAUCCGUCGCGGGCGUUGGAAAUUUGAGAGGAGCUGUCCUUAGUACGAGAGGACCGGGAUGGACACACCGCUGGUGUACCAGUUGUUCUGCCAAGAGCAUCGCUGGGUAGCUAUGUGUGGACGGGAUAAACGCUGAAAGCAUCUAAGCGUGAAGCCCCCCUCAAGAUGAGAUUUCCCAUCACUUUAAGUGAGUAAGACCCCUGAGAGAUGAUCAGGUAGAUAGGUUGGGAGUGGAAGUACAGCGAUGUAUGGAGCGGACCAAUACUAAUCGGUCGAGGACUUAACCU
rnacentral:rRNA from 1 species